rnacentral:sRNA from 1 species
AGGAAACAAAGUGCUGCGAGCAGGAGACGGCGGCGGCGCGGACCCUGCUUGGCCUGCAGUCACCCUCGUCUUGCAUUUUCCCGCGUGCAUGUCUAUGCUAAGAAGGAAUCUGAUCUUAAUGGCGCCCAGAUCAAGCUUCGAGAAUAUGAAGCAGCACUGAAUUCUAAAGAUGCAGCUCUUGCUACUGCACUUGGUGACAAAAAAAGUUUAGAGGGAGAUUUGGAGGAUCUGAAGGAUCAGAUUGCCCAGUUGGAAGCCUCCUUAGCUGCAGCCAAAAAACAGUUAGCAGAUGAAACUUUACUUAAAGUGGAUUUGGAGAAUCGUUGUCAGAGCCUUACUGAGGACUUGGAGUUUCGCAAAAACAUGUAUGAAGAGGAGAUUAAUGAGACCAGAAGGAAGCAUGAAACGCGCUUGGUAGAGGUGGAUUCUGGGCGUCAAAUUGAGUAUGAGUACAAGCUGGCGCAAGCCCUUCAUGAGAUGAGAGAGCAACAUGAUGCCCAAGUGAGGCUGUAUAAGGAAGAGCUGGAGCAGACUUACCAUGCCAAACUUGAGAAUGCCAGACUGUCAUCAGAGAUGAAUACUUCUACUGUCAACAGUGCCAGGGAAGAACUGAUGGAAAGCCGCAUGAGAAUUGAGAGCCUUUCAUCCCAGCUUUCUAAUCUACAGAAAGAGUCUAGAGCAUGUUUGGAAAGGAUCCAAGAAUUAGAGGACUUGCUUGCUAAAGAAAAAGACAACUCUCGUCGCAUGCUGACAGACAAAGAGAGAGAGAUGGCGGAAAUAAGGGAUCAAAUGCAGCAACAGCUGAAUGACUAUGAACAGCUUCUUGAUGUAAAGUUAGCCCUGGACAUGGAAAUCAGUGCUUACAGGAAACUCUUAGAAGGCGAAGAAGAGAGAUUGAAGCUGUCUCCAAGCCCUUCUUCCCGUGUGACAGUAUCCCGAGCAUCCUCAAGUCGUAGUGUACGUACAACUAGAGGAAAACGGAAGAGGGUUGAUGUGGAAGAAUCAGAGGCGAGUAGUAGUGUUAGCAUCUCUCAUUCCGCCUCAGCCACUGGAAAUGUUUGCAUCGAAGAAAUUGAUGUUGAUGGGAAAUUUAUCCGCUUGAAGAACACUUCUGAACAGGAUCAACCAAUGGGAGGCUGGGAGAUGAUCAGAAAAAUUGGAGACACAUCAGUCAGUUAUAAAUAUACCUCAAGAUAUGUGCUGAAGGCAGGCCAGACUGUUACAAUUUGGGCUGCAAACGCUGGUGUCACAGCCAGUCCCCCAACUGACCUCAUCUGGAAGAACCAGAACUCGUGGGGCACUGGCGAAGAUGUGAAGGUUAUACUGAAAAAUUCUCAGGGAGAGGAGGUUGCUCAAAGAAGUACAGUCUUUAAAACAACCAUACCUGAAGAAGAGGAGGAGGAGGAAGAAGCAGCUGGAGUGGUUGUUGAGGAAGAACUUUUCCACCAGCAGGGAACCCCAAGAACAUCCAAUAGAAGCUGUGCAAUUAUGUAAAAUUUUCAACUGUCUUCCUCAAAAUAAAGAAGUAUGGUAAUCCUUACCUGUAUACAGUGCAGAGCCUUCUCAGAAGCACAGAAUAUUUUUAUAUUUCCUUUAUGUGAAUUUUUACGCUGCAAAUCUGAUGGCCUUAAUUUCCUUUUUGACACGGAAAGUUUUGUAAAAGAAAUCAUGUCCAUACACUUUGUUGCAAGAUGUGAAUUAUUGACACUGAACUUAAUAACUGUGUACUGUUUGGAAGGGGUUCCUCAAAUUUUUUGACUUUUUUUGUAUGUGUGUUUUUUCUUUUUUUUUUAAGUUCUUAU